GCCCGUGUGGCUCAGUGGAUAGAGCGUCGGCCUGCAGGCUGAAGGAUCCGGGGUUCGAUUCCGGCCCAGGGCA
rnacentral:tRNA from 1 species